AAGUGCGAGUGGCGAACGGGUGAGUAACACGUGGGCAAUCUGCCCAAAAGUGGGGGAUAACACUUGGAAACAGGUGCUAAUACCGCAUCAACCGGCUGACCGCAUGGUCGGCCGGGCAAAGACGGCGUCAGCUGUCGCUUUUGGAUGAGCCCGCGGCGUAUUAACUAGUUGGUAAGGUAACGGCUUACCAAGGUGAUGAUACGUAGCCGAACUGAGAGGUUGAUCGGCCACAUUGGGACUGAGACACGGCCCAAACUCCUACGGGAGGCAGCAGUAGGGAAUCUUCCACAAUGGACGCAAGUCUGAUGGAGCAACGCCGCGUGUAUGAAGAAGGUCUUCGGAUCGUAAAAUACUGUUGUCAGAGAAGAACACGUGAUAGAGUAACUGCUAUGGCGCUGACGGUAUCUGACCAGCAAGUCACGGCUAACUACGUGCCAGCAGCCGCGGUAAUACGUAGGUGGCAAGCGUUGUCCGGAUUUAUUGGGCGUAAAGGGAACGCAGGCGGUCUUUUAAGUCUGAUGUGAAAGCCUUCGGCUUAACCGGAGAAGUGCAUUGGAAACUGGAAGACUUGAGUGCAGAAGAGGAGAGUGGAACUCCAUGUGUAGCGGUGAAAUGCGUAGAUAUAUGGAAGAACACCAGUGGCGAAAGCGGCUCUCUGGUCUGUAACUGACGCUGAGGUUCGAAAGCGUGGGGAGCGAACAGGA
rnacentral:rRNA from 1 species